UAUGGCUAUAUCAUGUUGAAACACCAGUUCUCUUAUAAUCACCGAAGUUAAGCAAUGUUAAGUUUGGUCAGUACCUAGAUGGGUAACAACUUGGGAAUAACAGGUGCU